UACAGAGACCUCAAACGUUAUCCGGAUUCAUUGGGCGUAAAGGGUCCGCAGGUGGUGUACCAAGUCAGCGGUCAAAUCCUGAGGCUUAACCUCAGGACUGCUACUGAUACUGGCACACUCGAGGCUGGGAGAGGCAAGCGGAACUAUCGGUGUAGUCGUAAUAAGCGCUGAUAUCGAUAGGAACACCAAAGGCGAAGGCAGCUUGCUGGAACAUGCCUGACACUCAUGGACGAAAGCGUGGGUAGCGAAUGGG
rnacentral:misc_RNA from 1 species